rnacentral:rRNA from 1 species
GACGAACGCUGGCGGCGUGCUUAACACAUGCAAGUCGAACGGAAAGGCCCUGCUUUUGUGGGGUGCUCGAGUGGCGAACGGGUGAGUAACACGUGAGUAACCUGCCCUUGACUUUGGGAUAACUUCAGGAAACUGGGGCUAAUACCGGAUAGGAGCUCCUGCUGCAUGGUGGGGGUUGGAAAGUUUCGGCGGUUGGGGAUGGACUCGCGGCUUAUCAGCUUGUUGGUGGGGUAGUGGCUUACCAAGGCUUUGACGGGUAGCCGGCCUGAGAGGGUGACCGGCAACAUGGGGACUGAGAUGCGGACCAGACUCCUACGGGAGGCAGCAGUGGGGAAUAUUGCACAAUGGGCGGAAGCCUGAUGCAGCAACGCCGCGUGCGGGAUGACGGCCUUCGGGUUGUAAACCGCUUUCGCCUGUGACGAAGCGUGAGUGACGGUAAUGGGUAAAGAAGCACCGGCUAACUACGUG